UACGCAGGAUGCAAGCGUUGUCCGGAUUUAUUGGGUUUAAAGGGCGCGUAGGCGGGCUAUUAAGUUAGUGGUGAAAACGCUGGUCUUAACCGGGGGCCUGCGAUUGAUACUGAUAGACUUGAGUGAGACAGAGGGUGUUGGAAUGUGUGGUGUAGCGGUGAAAUGCUUAGAUAUCAGGCAGAACACCGGUUGCGAAGGCAGAUGCCUGUGUCGUAACUGACGCUGAGGCGCGAAAGCGUGGGGAGCAAACAGG
rnacentral:rRNA from 1 species